GACGAACGCUGGCGGCGUGCCUAAUACAUGCAAGUCGAGCGGACGAUUCGAAAGCUUGCUUUUGAAUCGUUAGCGGCGGACGGGUGAGUAACACGUGGGCAACCUGCCCUGUAGACGGGGAUAACACCGAGAAAUCGGUGCUAAUACCGGAUAACACGAAAUGUCGCAUGACGUUUCGUUGAAAGGCGGCGCAAGCUGCCGCUACAGGAUGGGCCCGCGGCGCAUUAGCUAGUUGGUGAGGUAACGGCUCACCAAGGCGACGAUGCGUAGCCGACCUGAGAGGGGGAGCGCCCACCCGGGGCUUGGGACACGGCCCAGACCCCACGGGGGGGCAGCAGUGGGGAAUCUUCCGCAAUGGACGAAAGUCUGAGGGGGCAACGCCGGGGGAGCAAAGAAGGCUUUCGGGUCGUAAAGCUUUUUUGUUAGGGAAGAAAAAGUAACGUAGUAACUGACGUUACUAUGACGGUACCUAACGAAAAAGCCACGGCUAACUACGG
rnacentral:rRNA from 1 species